CUGACCCAGACUCAGGAGUUUGUUCAGGAGUGAGGAUAUUGUUUUGCACCAAAAUUGGCGACGAGAAGACAUAUCAGAAAGCGACAGGCAGAGCAUCUUUUUCUGGUCAAGGAGGACAUUGAUGAAUUGCUGCGAGGCGAGCCGGAGAGGCACAAUUAAGAUUCCAUCAGGAUAAAGGCGUGGGUUCAAUCAGAGUUCGCGGCUGGAGUGGAAAAAAUCUGGAGGGAUGUUAUCUCGGGUGGGAUGAUGGGAGUGACACUG